AUUUUCUCUGAAAAAUAACAAGAAAUUAAUAACCUCGCGUUAUUCGUAUUUUUGUGAAAUAUUUUUUGUGAAAUAUUCGUUCGUACGAUGAAUAAUUUACGAUAUUCAAAUCGCGCUUGUUAAUACACGGCUUAACCUGUGUGAUGACGAAUUUCGAUUAAUGUAAAAGAAAAAAAAUUAGAAAAAGAAUUAGUUUUCACUGGAGAAAUAGUAAUUUUUUCACGAUUUAGAAUGUUCGUUAUAAAAUAUCGAGUAAUUUAAGUGGAACAAACACAGUGGAGGCAAAUACUAAAGUUGUGCCACAUAACCUCUAAAAGGAACGCAAUGCCGAUGCAAAAGCGUUUGGAUCCCGAUUUUCGAGCAAUUUUUAUCGUAUAACGAUUUGGAUUGGAACUAAAUAUUCGCUAAUGAUGGAUUCGAAAUAUAGAGAAAAAUUAAGCGAACGAAACCGACGUGCACUGGUACCUCUGGAAAAUCCUCGUGGAACGGUACGUCAGCGAUAGCGAUGCGAGACCGCGUGUUCGUACACGGCCUUCCAGACGUUUCUCCGGCCUUUCUAAAGCGACCUCGAGAGAAAUGCGAAGAGAAGCAGGAAUCCUCCUUUCGAUCUGACCACAACUCGGAUCUUUUCAUACUUUUUACCAUUCCUAUCGCGUGCACGCAACUUUGCCUCCUUCGAUGUUUAGAUCAU